GAGGAGGGGGGCUGCGGAGGGGGGGAGGAGGCAAAGUGGGUGCAUUACGAGCUGAUUGUGCUCUCGCCCCGACCUCCAACAGCCUGAUCCGCCUUUGAAGUUUUCCACCCCUCGACUUGAAGUGAGAUCGAUUACAGAAGAACAACAGGGACAAAGAAUCCGCUGCUUUACGUGCAGCCACUUUCCCACGAUCGGGGCAGCCAGCUCGCCAGCAGCGAGGGAUCACCGCUUUCCCUACGCUCCUCCUCGCCACCAUUCAGAAAAACUCGCAGCCCCCGCCCCGAGCCCUCCGCUUCGCCGGGGAGAGCUGUUGGCAAAAAAUAACCCGAGGUGUUUAGGGACGAAGGGGCUGGGGGGCGACUCGCACGGCCUCGGUCUUUAAAAUGCAACGGGAAGGAAUCGGUAUGGGGCGAGGGGGGGGGGGGCGGAGGGGGUGGUGUUUAAAGGGUGGAUAAAUAAAAAUUAAGCGGCACAGAUGGGUGAGAUGCGAGCAAGCACCUCCUCCCCGGGCUCCGCACACGGGCUGGGGGGGGGGACACGCUCCGCACCGCCCCGCACCGGGGCCUGGCAGCGCCUGCGGGCGGCACCAACGCCUUUACCUUGGGGUCUGGCCCCGGUUCUGCCCGUGGCCCCACCGCUGGGACAGCCCCGGGGCCGGGAGGGGACGGAGGGAGAUGAGGGAGGAGGUAAAAGGGCGAGCGGACAGGGCGAGAGCGCGGGGUGCCAUCCCAUCCCAUCCCAUCCCAUCCCAUCCCAUCCCAUCCCAUCCCAUCCCAUCCCACUCCACCCAUCGCAUCCUUUCCAGCCGUGCGGGAGGAAUGGGGGGGGAAGCACCUCUUCCCUUCCCGGCCCGCGCUGAAUGGGGAGAUUUGUUGCUGAAACUCGGUUUGAACCCAUGGCACGCCGGCUGGCUUCUCCGAGAAAAGCGCUUUAAUUUGUCACCGGGCUUCCGAGCCCAUUCAUAAAAAAAAAAAAAAAAAAAAAAAAAAAAAAAAAAAAGGGAAAAAGCGGCUCAGUGCCGGGCUGCAGGGACCCCCAAAGAAGGCGGCUGCGGAGGGGGAUUUCCUCCCCUCCCCUCUUUCCCUCCCUCCCCUCCCCUCCCCGCCGGCCCUGCCCCCUCGCCCGGCGGCGCGGCUCCUCCCCGGCAGACUGCGCGGCGUCGGGGCGGCGAGCGAAGGGGGCGAGCACCGGCAAUAGCCGCGGUCACAAAUUACUGCAGGAAGUGUUAGCCGCGCACCGGCUCCUAAACAAGAUCGAUUACUUUCCACCGCCGCAGCCCCAGAAAGGGCGGCCGGGACCGGGGAGGGGAGGGAAGGGAAGGGAAGGGAAGGGAAGGGAAGGGAAGGGAAGGGAAGGGAAGGGAAGGGAAGGGAAGGACAGGGCUGGGGGCGGCACGGCCGGUGAGUAAGCCCCCGCGGGGGCGGUCCCGGCUGCGGCAGGAAGCCCUGACUCAGGCUCCGGGCUCCUGGCAUCCGACGGGGCCCCGGUGUGAGAGGCACCCACCCGAGCAGCGGCAGUGGGUCGAGAAAGCUGUGAUCUCAAGGGAGAUCGCACUCCCCUGCUCCACGAGUGUUAUCCUCCUUCUCAGAGCGCUUUUAGGGUUUGUUGCUUUGUUGAUGGUUUCAACACUGGGAAUGUUAAGGCAGGUUUAAUUUAAUGACUCCGCGUGUUGGUAAAAAAAAACAGUAUUUCCGACCUUGCAGUUAAUUAGGCUAGCAAGGUAAAUAAGAAUCCUGUGUUAAAUGCGUCUAUUUGUAUAAGGAUAAUUAUAUAUCUGCUGUACAUGCAUACACUUGCAUGUCUGGGUAUAGGUUAGAGCAGGUAACCAAGCCACACACAAAAUGCAUGCUGAUAGCUCGGUUUAGGUGAUGCAUUCACCCUAAAGUGAUUUAACUGCAAGUAAGUUGUCAUAUACAACAUUGUAUUAAAUGCCCGUAUUACCAAAGAUAGAAAUACCAUAAUUUAAAAUAACCAAGUUUAAAGUUCAAUCAUAUAUUUUAGAGCAUCCGUAGAGGCUCCUCGUUCUCUUCAAGACAAGACUCCAAAUUUGCCCUUAGUGCUGUUGUGCUGCAGAGGUGCGAGGUGCAACUGUACCACAGGCACCUGCAAACCACUUCAGGGACAGGUUUUAAAUGAGCAGCACAGGUGCUGCUGGUGGUGGUAUCACAGCAGCUCAUUGCUCAGCACAGAUUACCACCCAAGGCAAGCCUUUAGCCAGCCUGAAGCAGGUUUUUACCACCCCAACUGAGCUGCUUGCUGCUGUGAGCCCCCCUGCUAGGGGAGCUUAUGCUUGCUACCUUGCUUAAGUAGCUCAGAUAUCUACGAAAGCUGUGUUCAUGAUGUAACUGUGUAUUGUCUUCACUAUCAACUCCUUUCACACAUUAUUCCUCUUCUCUGCAGCUAGUACAGCUGUUUCACAUGGCCAGCUUUCCUAUUGCCUCCUCUUCACCUCUUCUGCAACUAUUCUUCAAAAUCACAUACACACAUAUGCACAAAAAAAAAAAAGCAAAAAAAAGCAAAAAAAAAGCUUAGCAUAUUUUCUCAUUUUAAAUCUGCUGAAAUCUGCAGUCAUUUCAAAUCUGCAGGAAAACAAAACAAAACAAAAUCUUCAGCCAAAUUGAGACACCUAUUACAUUUCACAUCAUUAACUGACAUCCCUGACCUCUGUAGUUAGUUUCCACACACAGAGAUAAAUAUAUACACAGUGAUUCAUACAGUAAUAAGGAAAAACAAAGCUGGUGAAGUCUAUUAAAAAAAAGUGAUAUUAAAGGUAUUCAAUAUAUAGAACAUUACUUCAAAUCCUGAACUUGCUGUCACCGCAGCAACAUUAGUCUACAUCCUUAAUGUAUGUCCCUUAACAUACAUCCGUACUCAAUGUACCUUGUAAUUACCUCAUUAUGGUUAACUACUGCUGACCCCUGUGUGGAACAUGUUAACAUACAGAACAACUGUGAAAUACCUAGGGAAAAGCAAGGGGAGAUUUUUCAGAAUUAACUUACAACUCCAUUUACAGGGUUUGUGCCACAGACUUACCAUUGUCAUAGACUUUUCCUCCACAUUUAUUUCACUACCAUUCCAUAAAUGCUUCUUUAAUCAGCAAAACAAAGAGACAGGUCUAACAAAUGUCAGGUGAAGCAAGUCACAAGAACUUAUUAUUAAACAAGGACCAGGUGGUGAUCAGGCUUGGUAUCUACUUUUCAAAAUUAGGUCCCUGGCAUAAUAUGUCAGAACUCUGUUUACGUGCUUAACAUGAGUUCCUCACAGCACAACUAUAAGAAGCAAUUAGCAAAGUGUGCUCUACCACAGAGAAACCAUUCAUUGCUUUUCUCCCACUCCCACCCACCCCAAAUCCCAGGGCAGUGCUGCUGUGUACAGUCCCACGACCGUGGGGAGGGAUAACCUGCUUCUGUCACAGCGUUUCUGUCCUGCAGCCAACUCCAAACCCAUAGCGUUGACAGAGAGGGAUGGCACUCCACCCCCAGGAACUGCUCCAGCCCCUACACAGAAGCAUUAUUGCAUGCUGCUCUCAUGUAUAAAUAUGGGAUAAUUCCCAUGCACAAAACCUCUCCAUCCCUGCAGCCCCCCAAAUUGACUGCCCACCUAUCCCUCCUCCAAACACAAUUUAGCCUUGCUGCAUUAAUUAAUGGAGCGGCUAACUCGGCUAGUACUAUUCCUUUAGCUCUUGGUAUAUGCCUCCCGUUAGGGCACCCCUCUCGUGAAGUGGUGAGCAGGGGAAUCAGGCAGCCAGGAGCGAAGCCCUCGGGCACUUGGUGCCGUGGGGGGAUGUAGCUGCAGCAUCCCUGGGUGACUGCUUCCCCGGGAGGCUGGUGGGAGAGAGAAAAAAAACAGCCAGGGGAGCUCUUCCUACAGGCACAGCUUAACCCUCCAAAACCUUCUGAGGGUCUGAAAUCCUGAAGCCCGUAAGGAAAACCAUUAGAGUUGGCAACCCUGCUAAUGGUUCUCAGUUGCUCAGCUUUCACUCUCUUGGCUCUUGUAAUGUCAUUGUUUCUCCUUGCUCCCCGGUUGCCUCGGAGAUUUCCGAGCCAGACAACACCUGAAUUUCUAACGCUAAAAGAAAAAUAUCAUUUCAGGGUUUCUUUACGCGUCAUAAAGAAGCACCAAAGGCCACGGGCUGCUCAGACAAGCUGCAGCGUGGGGCUCUGGCCCUAAUGAGCAGCAGCCUGCCCAUGGGGAGGCUGCCCUGGUCGUGUGCUAGCUCCUGCCCUCCUCCAACACCACCACAAGCUGGGUGCAAGCUGGGCUGCUGCCCUCGCCAGCAUCUGGGGCAAGACAGAGGCCAAGGAACAGCCCAAACCCUGCCAGGGAGCCUGGGCCUGGACAUGGAGCUGGCCUGGGAAGCUGGGCUGGGCUGAGCUGGCAUCAUCACCAGCAAUUUCUACAUGAGGGAAAAGCCUUGAGAUCUCAGCAGAUAACACAUGAUUUCUGCCAUGGGUUUCUUUUUCACAAGGUUUCUUUUCCAGAGGGUAUCACUGUUACUUCGCUCGCUAUAAAUCUGUGGAGGUUGGUAGGGCUCUGGUGGUCAUGCAUACAUUCUGCACCCAGGGAGGAGGUGUUGAAAUGGAAAGGCAGACUUACAGACAAGGCUUUAAAUGACCACACUUCAAAAUUUUCAGUCUCGCAACUUUACUGGAGUCCAGCUCCUGAUGUUUUCAUCUGUUGUGGGGGGGAAGCUAGUGACCCUCAGCAUAAUGUUUGAAAUAAACAAUCAGAUAUCUCCAGCAGCAGUUCCCAAUCUAGAAUUCAUGGCCAGAAGUGGGGUCAUAGAAGUUACAAGUGGGGUCACGAGCUUGGCAGAAAUUAAAUUGUUUACAGUAGCAUCUGGGGUUGUAAGCCCAACAGAAGUGGAGACGUAAUGUUUAGUAUUUGCCCAUCUCCAGUAUCUGAAACCUCAGCUCCUGGAUCCCAGUGAUUUUCUGUUUAUAUGCAGAGAUCAGGAAGCACACUAUCCCUUUCUGAACUAUAGAAAAAAAGCAUGAAAAGGUGAGAGAAAUGUGUCCUAAAAACUUGAAAGAAAUCACCCAGGGUGGGAAGGUUGUGUUGUUUACUUUUUUUUUUUUUAUAAUUAAUUUUCAAUGAAUUGGUGUUUCUUAUGAUGUUCAGUUCCUAAGACAACCAGUGCUAAGUGGAAGGUGUUUCCAGUUAUGUGAGUGUGGGAGGUCUCCUCCUAGGACAGACACCACCUUACACUUUGUAACCUGCACAACUUUGGUGCCUCUAGUACUUUGCUCUGCCCUCUUUCGAUAUAAUAGCACAAAUGUUCUAGGGUGAUAAUAUACCUAGUUUUGUUACUAUCAGUCAUUUAAUAUGGAGACAAAACUCCAGUGUAUUGUAGUCUCAAAGGUGAUGCAGUACAUAUUUAUUGAAGUACAUUGCUAAAUCACAAUGAAAAUCAAAUGAACUUGUCUUUGUUUUUCCAUGCCAAAAGCAAGGACACACAUUUUUGUAUCUAAAAAAGAGGUGGUAUUUUAAAGAAGGAAGUUAGAGAAUCAGUGACACUGGGAAUUGUCUCAUCUUAUGCCAUUUGUGUCUUUAUCACAUUGAACCCUUUUGUUUCCUCAUGUGUCAAGAGGGAAUAACUUCUGCUCUACCUGAAGGCAACACUGAAAAAUAAUUAACAUUUGCUAGCAGUUUCAUAAUCCCAUGUGGGAUGUGGAAUAUCAAGAAAGUACAAUAUAUUGAUGGUCUCAGAAAGUACGGAUGCACAAAACAAUCCUGUUAUUCUGCUACUAACCAUUUUUGGUUAGAACUUUUGUUAAUAAAACAUUUCCUCUGCAUCAACUUACUGGGUUUGGGUAGUAGGUUUUUUAAAACUCUCUCUCAAGGGAUAUGGUACAUCUAGUUUUGCCCCAGAAUAAAUGUUUAUGGGUGAAUUAUGAAAUCCCUGAAAACAGAACUUUUUAAUGGAAAUGAUGAGGCAGUAUGAGCUAUCAUAACAUUUCCAUAUAUGUAACAUUUUGUGAUGCGUGUCUAUGUGGGUAUUUCCUUAGUGUCCGGAAUGACUAGCUAUUAUGCCCAAAAUAUCCUUUGUACUUCACUCAUUUUUUUCUUGACAGUCACAGAGUCUUCACAGUCAAAGUUUCCUAGCCAGUCAUGCAGUCAAGAACAGAUCAGCUGUGUUCACACUGCCAGAGACAGCUUGUACCAGAGGCUCCUCAGUGUAGUUCCUUCUCACCACAUCCUAAGAACAGCUUCCUAAAGAGGGCCUUAGGUCUGAGCUUUUAAUACACCCUGACUGUCAAGUAAUAAGCAAAUGGAAUGGUGUGAAUUAAUUAUCUCUUUCAUUUAAAUGUACAUUUUAAUUAAGUUUAUUGGUGGGAGAAUUGACAUCUUGAAAAGUUCUUUACAUUUAAGAGAUGUUAAAAUAACAAAAUCACUGAAGCUUAAAGAACAUCAAGUAGGAAUGGCAUUUGUUUGCCUUAACUGACUGGGAGAUGGAAAAGCCUUAUCCAGUUGACUUUUAAAAGGCCUAAAAAUCCAAAGAAAUUAAAGUAAUUAGAGAACUUAACUCAUUUGAAAUAUAUUUUUUUUAAGCACUGAAUCUGUAAUUAAAACCAAAAUAAAAGUGGUAGCUGUAAUUAAAAGUGUAUUCCCCAGAGCGCAUUACCAUGUUCUAUACCUAAAAGAAGAAAACCUUUAGAGGACAGUUAGUGGAAGGCAUAGCUUAUUAUUUUUGAGGGUGGAAGGAGACUGAUCUUUAUUUUUUUUUUCUGUUUCAGUUUUAAAUAGAACCCUGUAAAUAUUUUUCACACCUAUAGCUAAACUGGCAACAUGGAGGUAUUUGCUAGCUUUGCAAAGGAUCAAAAAGACUGACUUCUCAACUGGCACGGCUUCAUCGUUAGCAAAAACAAAACAAAAGCCAAAAAAAAAAAAAAAAAAAAAAAAAAAAGGCUGUUACAUGUAUUUCACCAGCUUGGGUUUGGUAAGUGCCUGUUGUGUAUCACAGCAGAGAGAGGGAAAAGGUCAAAGUUUAAAUUCAGCACGCUGCCUUGCAGGGUCCCUGCACACGGGGCUCAAUUCCUCCACCCCUGGCAUGCCCCAUACCCCCUGGCACUGCGCUUCGUGCCCACCACAGCCUGGCAAGGGGCAGAGUGGGUCCGGCCCAGGUUCGGCAGCGCUCGGUGCCAUGGUGGGAAUUGGCCAGAGGAAAAAUGUGGUGCUGGGGGAUGGGGUUGGUGGAGGCAGUUCCAACAAAAUUGGAGGGAAAUGGCUUCUUUCAAAUUAAAAGUUGAGUGUCUUAAGCUACAAUAAAUAAAAUUCACUUUCUCUGGUUAUAGUGAGAAAAAACACCAACGCAAUGGGUAGCAGAGGAGCUGCAGAAUUAAAGAUUGCACUUUUAAAAGACGAGAAGGAAAAAAACAAAGGGCAGACCAAAAACAAAACAAAACAAAACAAAAAACACAAGAUUCCCUUCUUUCAAAAGGUGGUGGCAGACACGAGCGCAGCAUCUUUCCUCCAUGUGCUUUGUAUUUUGCUCCCAGGAUUUGGGUUUCCUGAGUUUCUCGUUUGGAGCCACUGGGGGCUGGGGAGGGGGCCAGGAGGGGAGGUGGCAGGGCCCUGGGCUGCGGCAACACUUCCCCGCACUGACAUCUGUGGAAGGGAGAGGAGUCCUGGCCACACAGGCCAGAGAUAAAUCAAAGCAGCUGCCCCUCAGGAGGUCCCUGCCAUGGGGCAGAGAGCCAUGUCCUGGUCCCCGUCCGCACUUAGGUAUUUUGGAUUGAGUGCAGAGCGGAUAAUGGAUGAAAGGGCUGGCCCUGCUUGGUAAGCCAGGACCCUGCCCACCCAGUGGUGAGGAAGCCAAAGUCCAUCCCUGAUGGCUCCUGGUCUUGACCAGGCUGGAGGUUUGGCAGCAGGAGUUGGGCACAGGCCCCUUCUCAGAAAGGAAAGGGCUGAACCUCAGCCUGGGCAAACACUCUAUAACCUCUGCCACAUUAGCCAUCACAGCGCAGUGUAUUGGCACCACGACUUAGGAACUGGCUUCCGAGAGAGAAGCUCUGAGGGCCUGGAAGCCCUGUUUGUGUUUCAGGAGAGGGCACGGUAGUGAUGGGCCUCCAGAGGCACUGCUCUGUGUGUCCUGGCCAUGAGGAGCUCCUGCUGGGUCCCCAAGGAGCCACCUCCUUCCUCUGAGCACAUUUGGGUGCCAGAGUCAGGAUGUGCUUGCAUUGCUCUCUGGAGUCAAGGGCUUACAAAUGAAACACUGAAUCAUGUGACUUUCAGGUGCCUUUUUUUUUUUUUUUUCUUUUUUGGAUCUGGACCCAUGUAUGCAAUUUUGAGAAGGCUUUUGAAGUGGGCUCACUCCUAGGUUUUAAUCAACAUAUUUUUAAACAAACCUUUGUACUUUGUAUCCAUGGUAAAAAAUGAUUAAAAUCAUGCUAGUUAGUUGUGGUUAUGCAUAGGGCUGACCAUGAUUACCUAAAUUGAACAUGACCUAAGGCUGCUAGAAGUUGCCCCUGCAACUAAAACUUUAGCUUCUCAUUUAAUCAGUUGCUGUUUAUUUUGCUGAUAAUGAUGUCUUGGUAUCAGCAGAAAGAGCAUAGCUCUUGUUUCUAUUUUUGUAAGACAAAUCUCUGCUUCAGAGGAGCUACAGGUCAGCAAAGUAGCUGGCCUGCAACCCCCUGACAGCACAAUUUCUUCUGUGUCCAGUAUUGUUUAAGCACAGAAAUUAAAUUGGUUGGGUUAGUGAAUAGGGUGCGUGGGAGGGCUGUGGGGAUUUGUGUUUGUGGUACCAUGCAGCUGGAGACAGGGCUGUGGACAUAGGGUUAGAGUCAAGCAGGCACGGGCUCUUCUCCCCAAUCCCAGCUGGAGUUGGGACCUCAGGCCCAUUUCCUUCUCCCUGGAGCCAGUUCUGCCAGUGUAGACAUCUUUAAAUCACACUGCAGUUGUUAUUAUAUGUGAUUACAGAUUAAUUAAAUUACGUUUUCAUUACAUGUCAUCAAAGUGUUGUGUGAGAAGAGGCAGUGGACGUGUAUUUGGCACCCUUAACAUAGUCAUGAGGUAGGUUUCUGAUCUGUAAUGGCUGAGGUGGCUCUUUCACUAGCAGCAGUAGCAGAUCUGAUAUUACUUAGCUUUUGCCAAAGAAAGCCUUGUUACAGAUCAAUUUGUGCAUGUCCACACGCAGCAGUGGCAAUGGCUAGCCAUGGCAAUGGCUAGCUCCCCUCAUCAGCAGGGCCUGCUCUUCAAGGGGGAAACCAAAAGGCCAGCGAUCCGAAUCGCUGCCAUUCCCUUUGCUAGAGACAGAAAGGGAGAAGGAGAUGGGGGCCCUGGUAGGCCUCCGUUACAAACCUGCAAAACUUGUGCAGUGGACACCUCUUACUUGUUUCUUUUAGGAUUUUAAAGUCAAAUUCAAUGAGUUUAAUCUAGGCCUGAGAUUAAAGGAAUGGAAACCCCAGACUUUCAGUACUGUGUGUGUGUGUCCAAGGACCCAAGAUCACUUGCUUUUUCUUGUUUUCAAAUAAAGGUGGGUGCUGCCGUCCCCACCCUGGACAAGCAAGCAGCUGAGGUGCAGGAAGAGGCUUUGGCCUCCCUAAGUCUCCACAUGGCCAUGACAGCACCUGAGAGCAGGGCUCCAGCCCUCCUGUAUCCCAACCUGAAACACCCCUUUCUCUUUUUCCAGUGGGGUAAUUCCAAUCCAGGUAACUUGGACACGUUAAUUCACAGCCCAGCCUGUGCCCUGGAAGGUAGGGGUAAGUUUCCUAUCCCAGGAACCAGAGUAUUGAGUCAUUACCCUCCCCCAAAUUGUGCUGUUUUUAUUCAGACUAUCUUUUAUUUUUAACUGUUCUGCAGUCUUCUGGUGUGACGUAUGGCAAAUUCUUUACACGUUUCCUGCUCCAUUUUUCCUUAUCUACCAAGUGAGGAUAACACUCACCUCAGAGGAUUGGAGAGAUGUUGGCAGGGUGCUCUGAGAUGCGUGGCUGGCAAGUCCCACGCGAGCCCAAAGCAUAUUUAAAAUUGAAGAAAUGUUUGAUUCUGUCUAUCCAGCUGUCUGCUGUGGCUUCACUGACUCAAUAAAAAAAAAACACAAACCAAACCAAAACAAAAAAACCUGUUGUUACAGAAGCUUUAAAAGCUGCUGCCUGUGGCCCUUGCUUUUCUCAUUGCUCUCCCUUCCUUGCACAGCUCACAGUUACACAUUUUCCUUAGGCAGCUUUCCUCCAGCAAAACACAGCUUUCUCUUCCACUUCUCUACACAUGAAGAAAGAGUGCCUUUCAUUUGCUUGCACAUGAGUUUUUUGCGUUUUGUUUUUAUAGCUUUAAUGUAACAGUUUUAAAUUGAAUAGAUGGCUUUUAUCGAGUCACUACUCCAUUUUUGUAUUUUACUACAAUCCUGCAGUGCUUACAAAAGACAUUUGAAGUGCAAUAAAAAUCCAGAACAUGAUUCAACAGUUUCAUUCACCUCCCUAAAAAAUGAUGGACUACAACAUUCAUGGUAUUUUCCACAAUGUUUGUUAGUACUAUACAUAUAACAUAUAUGUGUAUUUUCUAGGUUAAAAUAAAAUUCACAAAGUUUACAGAGCAUAAGCUUCCCUUGGAUUUUUGUGAAGGCACUUUCCAGCCAAGCUCAAUCUAUUCGUAAUUACUCAACACUACAGAAUCUCUCCUUGGGCAGGAGAUUAGAUAAUAAAGUGUCAGCGACAAGCACCAAUCUCUAGAAUGGCCAGAGCAACAGCACCUAAGAUAUCCAUAAGAGCAGAAAUUCUACUUGAAAGAAUAUACUGGUGUUUCUAUUUACUAACUUAUCAGCUUUUCUUAAAUUAACUAUGACUGAAGUAUGCUCUGCCCUUUUCCUCAAUUAACUUUUCAUUCAUUCACAAAUUCGCUGGGCCUCACCCUGGAAUGAGACCCUUCAUUCUUCAAAGAGCCUGGGUGACCUGCUACAGUUUUCAACUAAUCAGAGAAACAAAAAAAGGCUGAGAUUAAACCCCAAGGAAGCCAGGCUAUCUUGGAAUUCACUUGCAAGAAUAAACAUUGUCACUUACAACAAGCAGAUCUGCAGAUAUUUAACAAACCCCAGGGUGCUCUAUACAGUGAAGAUUUCCACAUUUGAUUGCCAUCUUAUCCACCAGAGUAGUUUUCUUAGUUCUUUAUCUAAUCGAGAAGUUAGCUGGUGUGUAAGACAAAAGAAACUUUCAGCACACUUGUAGAGGUUUAGACAACCCUCUAUGUCCCUGUCCUUUGCAGGCAGUCAGUUUAAAGGAUAUUGUGGUUCAUAAAAAUAAUUUUAAAAUUGCAAUAGAAACAAGAAUACAAAAUUGGAAAUCAUACACUCUGUGUGUGAUAGGUCAAUUUACACAUCACCUAUAUUUUUGUGAAAAAAAAAAAGAAACACACCUAAAUUUGAUUGUGGUUAAUGCCACCAUUUCUGAACAAGCCUUGUAGUAACUUAGCAUUAAUUAUCCUUUUACAGAAAAUGUUGCUUCAGAUGCCUUUUCUCUGGCAAAUUGGGAGGGGGGGAGGGUUGUGUGCUGUCUGAAUGCUUGAAGCUAAAUUGCUAUCAGCGUUACAGCUAUCCUUAGAAAAUAAAAGUUUCGAGUCAGAAAACUGCUAAGAUUUAAGAGAAAAAUUACUUGAUCUGCCGGGAUGUCCUGGUGCUGUUGAUUAUGUUUUUCAUUUUAUGCAGGAGAAUGGUUGGUUUGAUUUAGAUGUUACCGAGCUGCCUGGAAAAUGCCUGUCAAAAACAGUCUGUCGAAGAAACAUCACAAAAGAGUAAAAUUAUCAGCAAACAAUAUUUAGCAAAGUAAACCUUCUAAUGUAAUGUGUCAUGCUGUAUGUCUGCGAAAGCCGUACCUGACAUGUUAUCCGCAGAGAUGCAAGGUAUGGAUGGUAAAUAUCUUCUCAUAACGAUUGUGUUCAUGCAAGGAAGGAGAUAAAGCAAGGGAACAGGAAACUUGAAACGAAAUGUGCUAACCAUGCACGACAUAUGUCAUGAAGAAUGAAAAGAGGUCAAAAGGAGUGGACAGAUCAAUGGGUUUCAUGUCAGAACCAUCACAGCACACCUAAACUGUAUGCAUCUCCAGCAAUUACUUUGACCCUCUUUCAUGGUAAGACAUUUCCCCCUUAUUGCUUUUACCGUAUUCUAGAGAAGCAGUGGAAAAAUAAUUCUUUGGUAAACUGAAAGACAGAGCUGGAGAAAAUGGACAAGCAUCUUACACAGAGAGUUUUGUGUGCCCCAACAUUUGUUUGGGAUCUUCAGAUACAAAAAAAAAUCGACGGUCUGAGGAAAAAUGAGUGCCUGCAUGCAGUAGCUUAUGUUUUUAGGCUGUGUCUCAUUAGGACAAAAAAUGUAUCUGUCUAUCUGUCUGGCUGCCUACCUACAUAUAAUACUGUUGUAGCAGUGGAUGGGAAUAUAAGCAAGAUGAGGUUUGUAGGGCGAGAUGGUGUCUCCCCUUCUUCUCCCCCCCUUUUUUUUCUUUAAGAUCAGUACAGCUAAAAAAAGAAAUGAUCACUCCUUUGUGUCAGAUGGCUGCUGAGAGUGGAUUUAGCCCUCCUAGCAGCCCCUGCCUGCAGUGGGUUACCUAAACUCUCCCGCAAGCCCUUCCGCUGGCAGAGCCGGGGAGUGCGGAGCAGAUGGGGGGAAGUGUGAAGCAGCAGAGAUGGUGGAUUCUUUGGUCAGCACAAUUGGAUCCGAGAGCGGAUGUCUGCCUACCACCUUAGCUCUACUGAGAAAAUGAAACAUACAGCAACACGUUGACUGAGGCAGAUUACUUGCCUUCCAUUUUAGCACAGCUUGAGUAGACACAAUAAAAUUUUACAUGGCAAUUUGAUGGGAAGUAUUGUUCCUUAAAACACAAGAGAAACAGGCUAUGAAGCGAAAGUAAAAGAGCUUCUUGUACCUUCCUGUUCCUCAGUGCAGAUCAACAGCAUAGAGCCUGAUCUCAAGCAAGGGUCUCACACUGCUCCCAUUAAUCUAAUACUCCAUAGGCUGCAGUGAAAAGCCCCAGGGGAGUAAAUAAGGACUACUGUGCUGAGCAAGAGCUUGCACAGGCUGUGCUCUUUUUGCAGUGCACGUCUACAUUCGGGGUGAAGAUUAGUGGGCUAGUUGCCUCCGUGCAAGCAGAAAACAUGUUUCAGGCUGCACAUUUUCACGGCUGACUUGCGAACUGGUUUCAAGAGUGCACAAGCACAGACAUAUUAAAAACACUAUUGUUUGAGCCCUUCGUCCUUUCUUGUUUAAAAUUUUAUGAAAGAUUUAAGAUUGCUUUCCUUUGAUUUCAGUUAACCUAGCUACUCUGUAUUUCUCUGUAAAGGUUGCGGAAAACAGGAUUUUAUGAGUAAUUCAAACCACGCAUGAAGACUCUGUUAACAAAUACAUAGUGCCAAAUUCUUAGAUACACAGGACCACUGCAGUAAAAACAAAGGGAUUGUAUGGGUGGGAAUAGGAAUAGAUUUUGCAAGGAAUGUGGAUUCCCAAAGGAAGUGGUAACUUUCAUAAACUCUUGAAAACCCAUUUUCCAUACCCGCCACUCUCACCACCUUCUACUUAUAAACUGUGCUGUUCAGUAAAACCUGCACUUUUCUGGCCUGCCUUGCCGUGGUAUUAUGGCUGAACAAGUGGGGUGAAAAACAGGCAUGUGAAAUUUUCACAGUGCAGCACACACCAACACAAAACCUUGCCUGGUUUCAAAUUUCUUUACCAAUCCAAAACCCAGACAAGCUUCACUGAAAGGUUUGUUAAGGUUCACGAACCGCAGGAUGAGUUUGGGGGGGUGCCAAAAAAAAGAAAGGUCUGGAAGAGCGAGCAGAAACUGGGAGCAGAUCUAUGCUGGGCUCGGCCAUUGCAGGUCUUGGACAGGUCUUCAACCUCCUUCUCCUCCUCUCCCAUCUCUCAAACAGCAUGGAAUGAGUAAGGCUGAUGAACUUUCUGUGUCCCAGGAACACUGGGAGGAUGAAUGGCCAAGAAGCACUUUGGAUAUGCCACGUCCCUCCAGGACUAGAUUGGGCAGUGGGGACUGGUCACCAGUAUGGGUAAUGGAGGCAGGCAUGGGAAGCCCUCACAAGAAACUGGGAUGCUGUUAGUCUACGCUAUGGAGACUUUCCCAGUAGAGAUAUACCUGGGAUGUCAUCCUGAGGACAAUACAUGUUAUUUUCCCAAAGGGAAUUACUUCUAACGUACACCUAGUCAUGCAUUUUUCAAGGAUACAUCUACCUCCUCUGAAGCAAGGGAAAUAAUUUUAAAAUGCAGUUUACAGAGCAGGGCACUGGAAGGACAGAGCUUUGGUUUCAUGAGGGAGAAGUAGGUAUACAGGAUAGCUCUGUUGCCAUGUUCACAUGCAUGUGUGUGUACGUGCAGGGGGGAGGCUCCUAUCAGUGGUGCUACAACUCCCUGCAAAUUACCAUGAAGUCACAACUGUAAUUUGUUUGCUAGGAACAGUUCUGAACCUGUGUUCGGUUUCAUUAGGGUCAUUUAACUUCUUAGCAAUUGUAUUGCCAAGCAUGUAAGAAAAGAUGCUGAGAGGGAAAGAAAAACAAAAGUGCAAACAUGAAAACACAGUUAAUAAAUACAGAAUAGAAUGGUCCAAAUACCAAUCUUCUUUUUGCAGGCAAAAUUAUGCUGUUCUACAAUUUCACAAAACCAGGAUGGUAUAAAAGGAGAGUAAUAACUCCAGUGGCUUCAGAGAAAACUUUGUUUUAAAGCUAAAUAAACAUAGUAAUCUGUUGGCUAAUCUAUAUCGUUGUUUGGAGAAAUUGCAACUAUUUGAAGUUAUGAGAUUCUGCAUUAAAAGUAUUCAGGUGUGUUACAAGUAAUUAUCUAUAAUAAGGUAUCCUUCCAUGACUCUACAUUUAAUCAGGCACCUUAUUUUGCUCUUUAACUUCCAUGAUUGCCUUUAAGAGGAGCCAUGUGGUUUUUGACCAUGUUAUUAAAAGUAUUUAAGAUAUCUUGUUGUUGUUUUGUCUAUAAGCUUCAUUUAAAUAUUGCAAGUCUGCAAAGCCCUACUCACAAAUUCCUCAAUACCGGGGGGGGAGAGAGAGCUUUUUCUCGUCUGUAAAAUAAUUUUAUUGGGUAUUAAGAUUACUUGCUGCAACCACAUUCAUUGUGGGCUGAUGAAAUCAGAGACUUUGUGACAAUCCUAUAACAUGCACAGUGGAGUGUCAGGAUAUUGAUUACAGCAAGCAAUUUUGUGAAAGUUUCUCUUUGCAGCAGUCACACCAAGUGGUGUCCAAUACAUUCAAAGAGGGAUUUUCUGCUGUGUAAGUCUAGACGUAAGGUCUAGCGAGGGUAGAGAAAUACUAGAUGCGAUAUUUGCAGCAGGAAACAGGGAGGUCUCUGCAUUUUUACUUCAUACAGGAAGAAACUAGUCUGUUGCAAGAUCAGAUUGCUGAAUUACAGUAGGAAUUGUUCUCAUGUAGGGCUACAUAACAUUAAAAAAAUAUGUAUUUUAAAGGAAAGGUGCAGAAAGCAAGGCUUUCAGCUGCAUGUUGUUUCAAAUGAGGGGUGCCUCCAGCUUUUCUAUGCAUUCAUGUGAUUCUCAGCAUUUCUGUGGGGAAGCAUUCAUACCAAAAUGCGUGAGUGGAAGUAGGAGGGUGUACAUAAAAAGACUCAUUUUGGGGGGGAACUAGACAUGACCUUGGCCAAUGAAUAAUAAGGAAACUCAGAGGCAAAAAGUCGUGUAGCAAUCACAGCGAAAGGUAGAGCUUGCAUACUGAACUUGUCCAUCCCCUCACUGGAUGCUUCAGACACUGUCUCUAUACUGCUUGCUCAUAUACACAGGCACAUGCACACACCUGCACACACACAAACUCAUUCUCCCAUUUAUCCUAUAGGGAAAAAAAAA